rnacentral:rRNA from 1 species
AACUGUGGCCAUACCUUGAGACUGCCUGGUACUCACAUCACAGAAGCUAAGCAGAGUUGGGCCUGGUUAGCACUUGGAUGGGAGACUGCUGGGAAAGUGUUGCAGUGACUGUUG